AUUGUGUCUCAGCCUUUGGGCUAAGACCAAGUAUAGUAUCUGUUCUUAUCAAUUUAAAAAUACCUUCACAGAAACAUCUAGAAUAAUGUGUGGCCAAAUAGCUGGAUACCGUGGCCUAGCCAAGUUGACACAGAAAAUUAACCAUCACAGCAUAUUAAAAUUUCACAGCACUUUUCUAUGUGGGUUAUUAAAC